GUGUCAGCCGCCGCGGUAAGACGUAGGGGGCGAGCGUUGUCCGGAUUCAUUGGGCGUAAAGCGCGCGCAGGCGGCCCGGUAAGUCGGAUGUGAAAACCCGGGGCUCAACCCCGGGCCUGCAUUCGAUACUGUCGGGCUCGAGGCAGGUAGGGGAGAUCGGAAUUCCCGGUGUAGCGGUGAAAUGCGCAGAUAUCGGGAGGAACACCGGUGGCGAAGGCGGAUCUCUGGGCCUGUCCUGACGCUCAGGCGCGAAAGCUGGGGGAGCGAACAGGAUUAGAAACCCCGGUAGUCC
rnacentral:rRNA from 1 species